UCCAGAUUAACUUUGCCAUACAAGGGGUGU
rnacentral:piRNA from 1 species